UCUCUCCAGUUUUUCUAAAGUCACUUUUUUUAAACAUACAUCUAUGUCAUUUCUUUCCAACUCUUAAAAGUUGACAGAAAUACAUUUGCAAAUGUAAAAAGCAAAUAACCCUUAGCUAAGAAGCUUUCCUCUUUCUUUUCCUUUUGUAAAAAUAUAAUUCUCUCUGUGCAUAUAUUUAUAUAAAACAUCCUUGGAGAAAAAUGAGAAAAAGCUCCUUUAAUAAUAUCAGAGUUUUCUAGCAGUUAAGUGUCUCACAAACUUAUUUAUUUUACACAGACCUUAUCUCCAGAUAGUUAGGCACUUCUGGAAGUAAUUUACAUGCUUUUGUGGAAAGGCUUAUUUAACCCUUUAUUCACAUGAUUAUCUUGGCUCAACUAAGGAAAAUGUUUGAUGAGUGACAGGUUUUGUGUUUCUGUAGCACAGACAGAUCUCUGGCUCCUCUGCUUCCUUUCAUGGUUGGUUUGUAUUGUUUUGCUUUUUUUACUUGUGGCCAGCAUUUUAACUAUCUGAAGAAAUUAAUCCUUAUCUCUUUCCACGAAGCACCAGAUGACUGUUAGCAAGCCACAUACAUUUAAUGUGUCUCAGAUCUUUACCCCAUCAAAUAGGGAAGUAUAUUAGCUACCUAAAUAAUAUUGGGGAAGUAUGUUGAAAGAGUGUUUUCAUGAUCUUCUUAAGCCAAACAGAUGGGAAGGGACAUUGAAACAUGACACUCCAUGUGCUUUUAAUUGAAGGUUCAUAUAAUUGAUUCAGUCAAUAUUUUGAGAGAUUAUUUGGUGCUAUGGCAGAUAAGGAGAUGAAUGAGAUAUGUACUUUUUCUUCAAGGAGCUUACAAAAAUCUAAGAGUUUACAUUUUAGUUUUAUGUAUCACAGUAAGUUAUGAAACACAAACAGAAGUCAGAUAAUUGUGUAAAAUGACCGGCAAGCAAAAUCUCUGUAGAAGCAUUCUGUCAGUUAUUGAGGCUAAGAAGAAGGAACUUGUGGUAGAUCGAUUGCCAAAAUGUCCCC
rnacentral:lncRNA from 1 species